rnacentral:rRNA from 1 species
GAUGAACGCUGGCGGCGUGCCUAAUACAUGCAAGUCGAGCGAACAGACGAGGAGCUUGCUCCUCUGACGUUAGCGGAGGACGGGUGAGUAACACGUGGAUAACCUACCUAUAAGACUGGGAUAACUUCGGAAAACCGGAGCUAAUACCGGAUAAUAUAUUGAACCGCAUGGUUCAAUAGGGAAAGACGGUUUUGCUGUCACUUAUAGAUGGAUCCGCGCCGCAUUAGCUAGUUGGUAAGGUAACGGCUUACCAAGGCAACGAUGCGUAGCCGACGUGAGAGGGUGAUCGGCCACACUGGAGCUGAGACACGGUCCAGGCUCCUACGGGAGGCCGCAGUAGGGAAUCUUCCGCAAUGGGCGAAAGCCUGACGGAGCAACGCCGCGUGAGUGAUGAAGGUCUUCGGAUCGUAAAACUCUGUUAUUAGGGAAGAACAAAUGUGUACGUAACUAUGCACGUCUUGACGGUACCUAAUCAGAAAGCCACGGCUAACUACGUG